rnacentral:rRNA from 1 species
CCUACGGGAGGCAGCAGUGAGGAAUAUUUGUCAAUGGGCGUAAGCCUGAACCAGCCAAGUCGCGUGAGGGAUGAAGGUUCUAUGGAUCGUAAACCUCUUUUAUAAGGGAAUAAAGUGUGGGACGUGUCCUGUUUUGUAUGUACCUUAUGAUUAAGGAACGGCUAACUCCGUGCCAGCAGCCACGGUAAUACGGAGGAUAGGAGCGUUAUCCGGAUUUUUUGGGUUUAAAGGGUGCGUAGGCGGCCUUGUAAGUUAGCGGUGAAAGUCUGUGGCUCAACCAUAGAAUUGCCGUUGAAACUGGGAGGCUUGAGUAUGUUUGAGGCAGGCGGAAUGCGUGGUGUAGCGGUGAAAUGCUUAGAUAUCACGCAGAACCCCGAUUGCGAAGGCAGCCUGCCAAGCCAUGACUGACGCUGAUGCACGAAAGCGUGGGGAUCAAACAGGAUUAGAUACCCUUGUAGUC